GGAAUAUUGGACAAUGGCCGGAAGGCUGAUCCAGCCAUGCCGCGUGCGGGAGGACGGCCCUAUGGGUUGUAAACCGCUUUUGCGAGGGAGCAAUAAGUCGCACGUGUGCGACGAUGAGAGUACCUUACGAAUAAGCAUCGGCUAACUCCGUGCCAGCAGCCGCGGUAAUACGGAGGAUGCAAGCGUUAUCCGGAUUUAUUGGGUUUAAAGGGUGCGUAGGCGGCUUGGUAAGCGGGAGGUGAAAUGCCGGCGCUCAACGUCGGAAGUGCCUCCCGAACUGUCGGGCUUGAAUGACACUGCCGUGGGAGGAAUGUGUGGUGUAGCGGUGAAAUGCAUAGAGAUCACACAGAACACCGAUUGCGAAGGCAUCUCACGAAGUGUUGAUUGACGCUGAGGCACGAAAGCGUGGGGAUCAAACA
rnacentral:rRNA from 1 species